AGUGAACGCUGGCGGUAGGCCUAACACAUGCAAGUCGAACGGCAGCACAGUAAGAGCUUGCUCUUACGGGUGGCGAGUGGCGGACGGGUGAGGAAUACAUCGGAAUCUACUUUUUCGUGGGGGAUAACGUAGGGAACCUUACGCUAAUACCGCAUACGACCUACGGGUGAAAGCAGGGGAUCUUCGGACUUUGCGCGAUUGAAUGAGCGUAUGUCGGAUUAGCUAGUUGGCGGGGUAAAGGCCCACCAAGGCGACGAUCCGUAGCUGGUCUGAGAGGAUGAUCAGCCACACUGGAACUGAGACACGGUCCAGACUCCUACGGGAGGCAGCAGUGGGGAAUAUUGGACAAUGGGCGCAAGCCUGAUCCAGCCAUACCGCGUGGGUGAAGAAGGCCUUCGGGUUGUAAAGCCCUUUUGUUGGGAAAGAAAAGCAGCAGGUUAAUACCGCGCUGUUCUGACGGUACCCAAAGAAUAAGCACCGGCUAACUUCGUG
rnacentral:rRNA from 1 species